rnacentral:rRNA from 1 species
AGCAUAUCACCCACUAACACUCUUGGUCUUGGCUGAUCUUGGAAGGUAAGCAGGGUCAGGCCCUGUCAGUACUUAGAUGAAAGUCCACCUGUGAAUAUUGGCUAUAAAAGUAA